rnacentral:lncRNA from 1 species
UCCCUUAGGGCCGAGGCCAGAGUGUCCCCAAUGUCCCUGUCCCCAGUGUCCUUCAGGGUGGUGGCAUCGCUGUCCCCAGUGUCCCUGAUGUCCCCAGUGUCCCCAAUGUCCUGCAGGGUGGGGACAUCCCUGUCCCCAAUGUCCCCAAUGUCCCUGUCCCCAGGAGUGGGGACAUCGCUGUCCCAAAUGUCCCAAGGGAUGGUGACACCCCUGUCCCCAAUGUCCCCAGUGUCCUGCAGGGUGGGGACAGCCCUGUCCCCAAUGUCCCCAAUGUCCCUGACACCCCCCAGGUCCCCAAUGUCCCCAAGGUUCUUGACGCCCCCAAUGUCCCCAAUGAUGUCCCCAAUGUCCCUGAUGUCCCCAGUGAUGUCCCCAGUGUCCCCAAGGUUCCUGAUGUCCCCGACGUCUUUGAUGUCCCCAACACUCUUGAUGUCCCCAAUGCCUUUGAUGUCCCCAAUGAUGUCCCCAAUGUCCUCGAUGCCUUUGGUGUCCCCAACGUCCCCAGGGUUCUUGAUGUCCCCAGUGUCCCCAACAUCCCCGAUGUCCCCAGCAAUGUCCCCAAGGUCCCCAGCGAUGUCCCCAGGGUUCUUGAUGUCCCCAGUGAUGUCCCCAAUGUCCCCAAGGUUCUUGAUGUCCCCAAUGAUGUCCCCAACGUCCCCAAUGCCUUUGAUGUCCCCAGCGAUGUCCCCAGGGUUCUUGAUGUCCCCAAUGUCCCCAACAUCCCCGAUGUCCCCAAAGUUCCUGAUGUCCCCAAUAACGUCCCCAAUGUCCUUGGUGCCUUUGAUGUCCCCAGUGUCCCCAAUGUCCCCAAUGAUGUCCCCAAUGUCCUCAGGGCCUUUGAUGUCCCCGAUGUCCCCAAGGUUCUUGAUGUCCCCAACGUCCCCAAUGAUGUCCCCAAUGUCCUCAGGGCCUUUGAUGUCCCCAAGGUCCCCAGCGAUGUCCCCAGUGUCCCUGAUGUCCCCAAUGAUGUCCCUGACAUCCUCGGUGCCUUUGAUGUCCCCAUCGCCCC